rnacentral:rRNA from 1 species
AUUGAACGCUGGCGGCAUGCUUUACACAUGCAAGUCGAACGGUAACAGGGAGCUUGCUCCGCUGACGAGUGGCGAACGGGUGAGUAAUGCGUGGAACGUGCCGAGUAGUGGGGGAUAACGCAUCGAAAGGUGUGCUAAUACUGCAUACGAACUGAGGUUGAAAGUGGGGGACCUUCGGGCCUCACGCUAUUCGAGCGGCCGACGUCUGAUUUGCUAGUUGGUGAGGUAAAGGCUCACCAAGGCGACGAUCAGUAGCUGGUCUGAGAGGAUGAUACACCACAUGGGGAAUGAGACACGGCCCAGACUCCUACGGGAGGCAGCAGUGGGGAAGUUUGGACAAUGGGCGAAAGCCUGAUCCAGCCGUGCCGAGUGUGUGAAGAAGGUCUUCGGAUUGUAAAGCACUUUAAGUUGGGAGGAAGGGUUGUAGAUUAAUACUCUGCAAUUUUGACGUUACCGACAGAAUAAGCACCGGCUAACUCUGUGCCAGCAGCCGCCGUAACAC